GUAGGUGGCAAGCGUUGUCCGGAAUUAUUGGGCGUAAAGCGCGCGCAGGCGGUUCUUUAAGUCUGAUGUGAAAGCCCACGGCUCAACCGUGGAGGGUCAUUGGAAACUGGAGAACUUGAGUACAGAAGAGGAAAGCGGAAUUCCACGUGUAGCGGUGAAAUGCGUAGAGAUGUGGAGGAACACCAGUGGCGAAGGCGGCUUUCUGGUCUGUAACUGACGCUGAGGCGCGAAAGCGUGGGGGAGCAAACAGGAUUAGAUACCCUGGUAGUCCACGCCGUAAACCGAUGAGUGCUAAGUGUUAGGGGGUUUCCGCCCCUUAGUGCUGCAGCUAACGCAUUAAGCACUCCGCCUGGGAGUACGGCCGCAAGGCUG
rnacentral:rRNA from 1 species